CAGACCCCCAAGUGCCUUGUCUGCAGACAACCUGUUUUAUAAAUGCUGGCAGCCAGAACAUGCAUGCAGUGCUUCAUAAUGCGCCCAGGAUCAAAGGUACCAAGUUAAUUUUUCAAAUCUCUUUUCCUUUUCUGAAUUGUGGCAUUAGACUGUAAAGCUAAUACCAGAGCUAAGAAGUGGAAGGUGGAGAAGGAGCAGGAGGAGGACACAUGGGUGCAAUUGUACUCAACAAGGGCAUACCUACAGGCACUCUGGUUGAUGAAGGCUUACAGCUACAAAAUUAUUCCUCCUACUACCUGAGGACUUAAAAGGAUGUCACUACCUGCAGGUUCUGACAUGACAGAACUUCCGUAGAACUGCAACACAGAACAACAGACUGAGUCAUGCCUGAGAGUGCAACUCAUUGAAAUUACCCCAUACGCUGGGCUGGUUGGCCUCACCUCCCAAACCCAACAUUGCUAAAGAGCAUCCUGCUGAUUGCUAAUUUACCAGCAGCUUUCAGUGAAAUUAGCCAAAGGGGAAAGAAGCAAGUCUUGGAAGAUCUGAAUGAGUCUCUGGGAGAUGCAGAACCGUGGCCCAUUACCAUGGUCUCCAGAUCACUUCAAGGCUCUGGGACAGGGUGUCUGCUCACUCAAAGGAAAGACAAUUCCAAAGCCAGCUUGUCUUCCUCACAAAGUUUCUUAUACAUAUGUACACAUAUAGCUGGUUUCUAUGCAGCUUUACAUUUACUAGUAAUCAGAUAGUUGGCCCUCCUAAUUACCUGACCGUGUACAAAGGAAACUGCAGUUACAAGGCUGCACUUAUGCUUUAGCUUCCGUGUUGAUGUUUAGACAGCUUUAUUACAAUGCAAAUCCAGGGGCUGAAACUCUGGCACUGCAGAUAAUUCCCACGUGGCAACUGUAAGGUGGCUGGAAAUAGCCAAGAGAAAUACUCACAUGGUAAAAGGAGGAAAAUGCUUCCUGCAAAGUUUUGAGCCAUUUUAUUUUUCCUGACAUGGAAGAUGAAGAGAUUGGGAUGUCCUACAGUGCAGUUAUUCUGGACUACUAUCAAUGCAGAUAGGAAAGCCUUUCAAGCCAGCGUUUCAAAACACCUUACAUGUCAUUUGAAGAAUUGAAACAGACUAGAUGGAAGCUAGAUUUCUCUCCUCAGAGGGAGAGAAAGAGCUAGGACUGAAAUUAAAUGGUGCGAAAGAAAUGCAGCUAGGAAUGAAGGAGCCAGCCUGCUCUAGGAACUCUGCCCCUGGAACCUUGACAGAUAAGAACUGCAAGAAACAGGGACAUGAUUACUAUGGAGAAGGUGGACCCUGAUGGAGGGAAACCUGACUCACCUUGUGGAAGAAUUCAGCAAUACCUGAUAAUAUCUUAACCGAGGGAAGCUGACAGAGACCUCCCUCUCAGACAGGUUUGAUGAGGAGCAGUCACUUUCAAGAAAGUCUUUUGCCUUUGCCCUGAUUUGCCCAGCAUUACCAGAGGUGAAGCGAUCAUAACCAGAUGUUAUAGAUCAUAAAACAGGGUUUUUUCUUGCUACCACUGUACAUUCAUAAGUUUGGAAUAUGCCUCCCAAGGGUGAAAUCAUAAAGAAGUGAAUGUCACUUCAGCUCCUAGCUUCCUUGCUUCAUUUUGCAAUGGAUACCACAAAAAGAUUGUCAGUUCUAGGAAUUCUCCAUGUAGGAAUGAGAUCAAAAGAGCAAGGAAGGAUUGCUUGUUUCUUUGUUUUCCCUGUAAGUUUCAUCUUCUGCGGAACAUUCUCUUUUCAUGCAUUUUCUAGAACAAGCAAAAAAUGACACUUCUCAAUGAAGACAACUACUUUCUCCUCCAAAACGAUCACCCAAAAACCAGUAAAAAGAAGUAGAUUUUGGAUGAAAAGGGUAACUUUCAAUAUAUUCUAGCAUUUCAAAGUGAAAUAUUUUGUAGUUCAGAAAAGUGAAUAGUCCACCUAAAAAAACUGCUGCGUCCCAUAGGAACUACAGCUUAGGGGAUAAUUCCUCAAAGUUGUCCAUAUGCCUGAAUGUAUUGCAUCCUCCUGGAGGCUAGCAAUGCUAUUUGUCAACUGUCCAAGCCAUAAAUGAUGGUCAUGUGUGAAAGGAGAGAACGAUUAGUGAAAACUGUAGAAAUGAGGCUGAAAGCAACUUCAAGAAACUAUUCACGCCAAUGAGGACAUUGGUCUAAGCAACCUUUAACAGAUACUGCUUUAGCCUACUAUAGGAAAAUUUCAAUGAGCUUCCACAACUAACCCAGACAGUAUCCUUUAACUACCUUUUCAUCAGGAAAUUCCUUAAUGCUUUAGUGGAAUCUCCCUUUCUGAACUUUAAGCCUGUUGCUACUUCUUCUAUCCACUGUGGAGGCCAGAUUGCUCCUUCUGCUCUGCAGCUGCUUGUUGCACAUUUGAAGAUCACCAAAUCACACACCAGUCUGCUCUUCUCUAGACUAAUAUAAUCUAACAUUUUUCAGAUUCGUGUUUUCAGUUCCCUCCUGAACUGCUGCCUGUCAGUUUACCAAUGUUUUUCAAGGAGGGCAGUGUCCAAAAGCAGACAUUAUAUCCCUGCUGGGGUUUAAACACAGCCAUGUAAAGCAAAAGGAUGCUUCCACAUAUCUCGUCUCUGUUAGUUUCAGUCUCUAACAUUAGCCAAGACUAUGAGCCCUCAUUAAUUCUUCAUAAGAUUCUUCGUAAGAUAAAUCUUAAAGAUAUUCCAGAAUUCUGCUCGUGUGAUCCUAAUCAAUGAAACUGUGCCUUGUCUUCCUAACAGUGUACCACAAGACAGUUGAAACCUUUUAAUAUUCAAGACUCGACAGACUGUUUAUGUUCUAGGAUUGGGAUAUUUCCCUUUGACAGUAAGAAGAGCAAAUUUACAGCUUGUGACACUGUGAGGAGCCUGAAACCCUUUGGCACUUUGAA
ensembl:lncRNA